CACGUAGGGGGCGAGCGUUGUCCGGAAUUAUUGGGCGUAAAGAGCUCGUAGGCGGUGUGUCGCGUCGGCCGUGAAAACCUGGGGCUCAACUCUGGGCGUGCGGUCGAUACGGGCAUCACUGGAGUUCGGCAGGGGAGACCGGAAUUCCUGGUGUAGCGGUGAAAUGCGCAGAUAUCAGGAGGAACACCGGUGGCGAAGGCGGGUCUCUGGGCCGAUACUGACGCUGAGGAGCGAAAGCAUGGGUAGCGAACAGG
rnacentral:rRNA from 1 species